rnacentral:rRNA from 1 species
GAUGAACGCUGGCGGCAUGCCUAAUACAUGCAAGUCGAACGAGAGGAAGGAAAGCUUGCUUUUCUGAAUCUAGUGGCGAACGGGUGAGUAACACGUAGGUAACCUGCCCAUGUGCCCGGGAUAACUUCUGGAAACGGAUGCUAAAACCGGAUAGGUAGCAGACAAGCAUUUGACUGCUAUUAAAGUGGCCUUGGCCAUGAACAUGGAUGGACCUGCGGUGCAUUAGCUGGUUGGUGAGGUAACGGCCCACCAAGGCGCCGAUGCAUAGCCGGCCUGAGAGGGCGGACGGCCACAUUGGGACUGAGACACGGCCCAAACUCCUACGGGAGGCAGCAGUAGGGAAUUUUCGUCAAUGGGGGGAACCCUGAACGAGCAAUGCCGCGUGAGUGAGGAAGGUCUUCGGAUCGUAAAGCUCUGUUGUAAGAGAAAAACGGCACUCAUAGGGAAUGAUGAGUGAGUGAUGGUAUCU